rnacentral:rRNA from 1 species
CAGGAUGUGAANUCCCCGGGCUCAACCUGGGAACUGCGUUNUGAACUGGGUGACUAGAGUGUGUCAGAGGGAGGUAGAAUUNCACGUGUAGCAGUGAAAUGCGUAGAGAUGUGGAGGAAUACCGAUGGCGAAGGCAGCCUCCUGGGAUAACACUGACGUUCAUGCCCGAAAGCGUGGGUAGCAAACAGGAUUAGAUACCCUGGUAGUCCACGCCCUAAACGAUGUCGAUUAGCUGUUGGGCAGCAUGACUGCUUAGUAGCGAAGCUAACGCGUGAAAUCGACCGCCUGGGGAGUACGGUCGCAAGAUUAAAACUCAAAGGAAUUGACGGGGACCCGCACAAGCGGUGGAUGAUGUGGAUUAAUUCGAUGCAACGCGAAGAACCUUACCUGGUCUUGACAUGUACGGAACCCUCCAGAGACGGAGGGGUGCCUUCGGGAGCCGUAACACAGGUGCUGCAUGGCUGUCGUCAGCUCGUGUCGUGAGAUGUUGGGUUAAGUCCCGCAACGAGCGCAACCCUUGUCAUUAGUUGCCAUCAUUAAGUUGGGCACUCUAAUGAGACUGCCGGUGACAAGCCGGAGGAAGGUGGGGAUGACGUCAAGUCCUCAUGGCCCUUAUGACCAGGGCUUCACACGUCAUACAAUGGUCGGUACAGAGGGUAGCCAAGCCGCGAGGUGGAGCCAAUCUCACAAAACCGAUCGUAGUCCGGAUUGCACUCUGCAACUCGAGUGCAUGAAGUCGGAAUCGCUAGUAAUCGCAGGUCAGCAUACUGCGGUGAAUACGUUCCCGGGUCUUGUACACACCGCCCGUCACACCAUGGGAGUGGGGGAUACCAGAAGUAGGUA